GUGCUCACUUCAGCAGCACAUAUACUAAAAUUAGAAUGAUACAGAGAUUAGCAUGGCCCCUGCGCUAGGAUGCCAUGCAAAUUCUUAAAGCGGUCCAUAUUUUU